rnacentral:rRNA from 1 species
ACGCUGGCGGCAUGCUUUACACAUGCAAGUCGAACGGCAGCGCGGGGCAACCUGGCGGCGAGUGGCGAACGGGUGAGUAAUAUAUCGGAACGUACCCAAGAGUGGGGGAUAACGUAGCGAAAGUUACGCUAAUACCGCAUACGAUCUAAGGAUGAAAGCAGGGGAUCUUCGGACCUUGUGCUCCUGGAGCGGCCGAUAUCUGAUUAGCUAGUUGGUGAGGUAAAGGCUCACCAAGGCUACGAUCAGUAGCUGGUCUGAGAGGACGACCAGCCACACUGGAACUGAGACACGGUCCAGACUCCUACGGGAGGCAGCAGUGGGGAAUUUUGGACAAUGGGCGAAAGCCUGAUCCAGCAAUGCCGCGUGAGUGAAGAAGGCCUUCGGGUUGUAAAGCUCUUUUGUCAGGGAAGAAACGGUGAGGGCUAAUAUCCCUCGCUAAUGACGGUACCUGAAGAAUAAGCACCGGCUAACUACGUGCCAGCAGCCGCGGUAAUACGUAGGGUGCAAGCGUUAAUCGGAAUUACUGGGCGUAAAGCGUGCGCAGGCGGUUUUGUAAGUCUGACGUGAAAUCCCCGGGCUCAACCUGGGAAUUGCGUUGGAGACUGCAAGGCUAGAAUCUGGCAGAGGGGGGUAGAAUUCCACGUGUAGCAGUGAAAUGCGUAGAGAUGUGGAGGAACACCGAUGGCGAAGGCAGCCCCCUGGGUCAAGAUUGACGCUCAUGCACGAAAGCGUGGGGAGCAAAC